rnacentral:misc_RNA from 1 species
UGAUGAGAGCAGUGGAAUGAAACUAUUAUACUUAAGUCAGUAGGAAGUUGAGAAGAAGACAAUGCUUUUCAUGACAACUGCUCGCAUCCGAUCAUACAUUGUCAAAACUCGUGGAUGUGUACAAUAUUAUAAGUUCGUUAGAGUUGCAGGAUUAAAGCAGCACGCAACAAAAUUUCCUUUGAAUGAAGUGAAUAGCCCCAAAAAAUCGGGAGUUUCUGUUGCUGCUGCUACCCAUCCUCAUUCAGUGAAUCUAAGAGAUAAAAGCUUGGCUCCAUGGGAAAUAUACAAGUCAUCAGUAUCAAGGAAAUCUCAUCUGGAGAUUCACAAUCCAACAAUUUUUACAGUAGGAACUUCUGAUGAAGAAAAGCUUCUGUCAGGUGACUGCAGUAAAGAUUAUGAGGUUGAACACAGUGAAAUAUCUUCAUAUGAAAAAUCUGUUGAAACGAUUGAGGCUCCUGUACUUUUUGUGCCUUAUGCCAAAAAAAUAAUCGACUUAAAAAAUGAGAUAUACAAGCAAAAGAGCUUGUACUACUAUUUACACUUAAAACAUGAUGAAACACUGAUUAGUGUUUCAAACAAAAAUUCUCAUGAAGAAUUUAAUGGUAAUUCACAACAAAAAUAUGGAGUUAUAGAUGGUUUAUUACCAAAAAAUGGUGAAGAGAUUGAACUACCAAAAACUGAAAAAGGAGGAGGAAAUGACAUUCAUUUGGUCAAUGCUGUGAGUCCUACCCAACUUCAGUGGCAUGAACAAGUUCUUCAAGUUUGUCUCCUACCAAGACAUUACAUGAUGUUAAGCAAAAUACGCUUAACUGCUCUGGUUGUAAUGACAACUAUGGUUGGAUAUGCCAUGGCCCCUGCUCCUUUUGACCCUACAACCUUUAUCUUUGCAACUUUUGGAACAGGGCUGACAUCAUGUGCUGCAAAUGCCAUCAAUCAGUUUCUAGAAGUACCCUAUGAUUCUCAAAUGGUUCGAACGAAGAAUCGUGUCUUGGUGAAGGGGAUUCUCACCCCCCUACAUGCUGUAACUUUUGCUGUAGUAAGUGCCACAACAGGAUUGUCUGUUCUGUUCUUUGGGGUCAAUAGCCUUACAGCAGGACUUGGUGCAGUCACUUUAGUGCUAUACACCACAAUAUAUACACCAAUGAAACGGUGCAGUAUUGCAAACACAUGGGUUGGAUCAGUGGUUGGUGCUAUACCUCCCAUGAUGGGUUGGGCUGCAUGUUCUGGUGUUUUAGAUCCAGGAGCUUGGCUGCUGGCUGCUAUACUGUACUCGUGGCAGUUUCCUCACUUCAAUGCACUCUCUUGGAACCUACGACCUGAUUAUUCCCGUGCUGGGUAUCGUAUGAUGUCAGUGACCGACCCUGGACUCUGCCAACGAACUGCUUUGAGAUACAGCAUAGGUAUUGUUUUUCUAUGCAGCACAGCACCUGUACUUGAUCUAACUACAUGGACUUUUGUGGUGGAUUCUCUACCUCUGAAUAUCUAUGUAGUGUAUUGUGCUUGGAAGUUUUAUACAGAAUCAGACAGUGCCUCAUCACGAAAACUCUUCCGUCUCAGCCUUAUUCACUUACCUUUGUUAAUGAUGUUGAUGCUUAUUAGCAAGAAACAUUCAUCAGAUAAAACUCUUCAAAAAGAAGAAAGUUCAAUUACAAAGAGAUAAUAAAAUGCAAUAAAAUAGUAAAAUCAGAAUUAUUCUAAAUUUAUGCUAGUUCAUAGAAAAAAAUAGGAGUUAACGUGACGAACAAGUAUCUGAUGGCUUUAAAUACAGUUUGUAUAGAGAAAAUUAGUGAUUUUUGUUUUUAAUGAAACUUUAAAUGUGAAAUGAAAAAAAAGUCUCUAAGUCAUUUUCAAUUAUGGACCGUGAAUGCUCAGUUCUAUGGUGAAGAUUUCUUGAUAUUUAUGGCAUGCCACAAACUUGUGAUAGUUAUAGUACCUAUUCUAGUCAAUAUUUUGUGACAGAAAUGAUUCAAAAAAAGGUAUGUUUUGUUCUAAUCCAGGAAUAGUAAGGUUAGUAAAAAUGUUAUACUGUAUAGUUUCUUAGUAGAAAUUGUCUAAGAAUAUUCAAUUUCUACCCGGAAAAAACAUGGCCAUUUUUCUAUUGUAUUUUGCCUCAAAGCUAUUACCUCAUUACAAAGACAUUGUAUGCAAAUACAUUUAUGCAAUAUUAUGAAACAAAACACUGAAAAACAUUAUUCUUUGACUACUCUUUCAACUAUCUAUUGAUGCUAAUCAGAUAGUGUGAGGAGUGGUUAUAAUAGGUACUAAUGAUCAUGAUAGAUAACUAAGGACAACAGUGUGAACAACUGAUUGGUGAAAACAAUAAGUUACUAAGAACAACAAAAUGAUGAAGAUGAUAGAUAAUUAAGAACAGUGGUGAACAUUAUAAGUAACUAAGAACAAUAGUGGUGAACAUGAUAAAUAACUUAUAACAACAGUAGCAAACAUGGUAGACAACUGAGAACAACAGAGUAGUGAACAUGACAGAUAACUAAGAACAAUGUGAUGAACAUGAUAAAUAAGAACAACAGUAGCGAAUAUGAUAGUCAACUAAGAACAACAGAUGGAAAGCAUGAUAAGUAACUAAGAACAACAGAAGCAAACACGUGGUAGAUAACUGAGAACAACAGAGUGGUGAACGUGAUAAAUAACUAAGAACAACAGAGUAGUGAGCAUGAUAGGUAACUAAGAACAACAGUAGCAAACACAUGGUAGAUAACUGAGAACAACAGAGUGGUGAGCAUGAUAGGUAACUAAGAACAACAGUAGCAAACACAUGAUAGAUAAUUGAGAACAACAGAGUGGUGAACAUGAUAGAUAACUAAGAACAACAGAGUGGUGAACAUGAUAGAUAACUAAGAACAACAGUAGCAAACAUGGUAGACAACUGAGAACAACAGAGUGGUGAGCAUGAUAGGUAACUAAGAACAACAGUAGCAAACACAUGAUAGAUAACUGAGAACAACAGUGUGGUGAACAUGAUAGAUAACUAAGAACAACAGAGUGGUGAACAUGAUAAAUAACUAAGAACAACAGUAGCAAACACAUGGUAGAAUAACUAAGAACAACAGAGUGGUGAAUAUGAUAGAUAACUAAGAACAUCAGUAGCAAACAUAAGAGGUAACUAAGGAGAACAGAGUGGUUUUUAUUUCUAAAAGGAUAAAUAUAGAGUAGUAACUGAAAGGAUGCUUAUAUAGUUUAGUUUUGUAGGUUUUAAAGUUUAUGACUAAAUUAUACAGAGGUGGUACUGGUUUUGCUUAUGGACAAAACAAAAAAUUCUUACUGUCAUCACUAGUUGGUUAUCAUGUGUCCAGCUUGUGGACUUGUGGUUUUUUAACACAAAGUGCCUGCAAUCAGUAUUGAUGUAUAGACUUAAUACUGUUUAUAAAUAUGUUAAUAAGCCAAACUAAUGUAACCUUGUAUGUAGUUUGCUGAGCAAAGAGCCAUGGUAAAAAAAAAUUAAAAUUAUUGGAAUACAUUCAACCAGAGAACUUACAAUGACAGUAUCAUAUUGCAACAUUUUCCACUGACUGAACUAUUUUUGCAUCGCUAAAAAUAGUGUUUGGUCUUUAUUGUGUUCACUGUGUUGAAAUAUUUCUGCUUUCAUGUAUUCUUUGUCAUAGUUUGUAGUAUUUUUGAGACUAUGACUCAAGUAAUAUAUAGUAUUGUUUUACCUCAACAUUAACUCGUAGAGGUAUUCACGAAAAAAGGGGGAAUUGUUUACUCUCUGUGUAUCAAAGUAACAUAUAACCAGAAAUUCAGACAAUGGAUCAGAAACAUUGUGAAAUCUCUUUUAGUUUGUUUAUAAGUCAGUUACUUGUAUGAGUUUUUUUUUUUUAUGUUUACUCGGUACAUUAGUUAUUCUCGUAAUUUCAUAUUCCAGUCAAAUAAGUGGCUCCUGUAGUAAUCACUGCUUUCAUAUGCUAUACACAGAUGAAAAAGUUACAGUGGUUCUUUAUGGUAUUUAGAGCUUUACUGUUAAGAGAAGCUGAUGUGUGGAGUAAUUUCAAGACAGUUUUGUUGGGAGUGUUGUUAUUCUUAAAUUUCUAGAUUGUAACCAGUAUCAGCAAUAUGCCAACCUGGUGUAAGAGAGGUAAAUAUAUGCUUUCUGAGAAGCUAGUUAAAAAAACUUGACCAUGGGUGUAAGUCAGCUCUGUGCUUAGAAAGGCUAGUUCAUGUUUGCUGAAAACUUAGUUCAAAAACGUGGGUGUAAAUUAGCUCAGUGCUUUGAAAGGUUAGUUCAUGUUUGCAUAGUGAGUAUAAUGUUUAAGGUUCUAUGGAAAAUAUUUUAUAAGAGCUCGUCAACUUUGCGUAUUAAUGGUUAUUUUUUCCAUAAAGUAUUAGUUUGUAUAGAAUGCAUGUUGUAAGUAGGUUAAUUUAAUUAGUGAAUGAUGCAGCUUCUAAUGCUUGUGGUGAAAUGAAAUACCUGUAAUAAUAAUAUAACUGAUGUGCUGCUUUAGAGUCUGUCAUGACAAGAGUGUAAUAAUCCUACAAACUGCAUACAGGAAUUAAUUAAGAAAAUGGUGUACAUUAUUCAAGACAUUAUUAAAUGGAGAAUUGUACCUUUUCAGUCCAUUAAGCUGGAAUUCAUGUGCAUAUGAUGUACAGAUAAGUUUAUUAAGGUACUACUUUACUUGUAGAGUUUGAAUUUAAUAAUCUUUUGUUGUUGGGUUUUGAUUCUUAAAGAAUUGAUAAACUUUACUUCUGACACCACUUUCUUAGGAAGUGUUAUACUCUUACUUCAUUUCCCCAUCGUACGUAUACUAACUUUAUGUUGUACCUAUAUACCUGUCAGGAUUUGACUCGCACCAAUGUAAAAAUAACAAAUUAUUAUUUAAUUCUGGUAAACAAUAACACAAAGAUUUAGAAAUGGAUUUUAAUUUCCAAGUAAUUGACUCUUUUUUUGGAAAAUGUAACUUAAUGAUAAAGCACAACACGAACGUGAUAAUUGGAAGCAUUUAAUAAAUGUUUUGGAAUCAUCACAAUUUCAUCACCAGUAAUCUAGAGGUACAAAACAAACAAACAGUAUUUGUAAUUACAACAGAAAUAUGAUAUACAUAAGAAGAAAACUAAUUGAAUAUAAAAAUUAUAACAUGAGAAAAUGAAAAUCAAGUGAAGAAUGUAAAUUAUUUAGGGACAAGAGAAGAGUUUUUAUGUAUAAUGCUUCUUUUAUAAGAAGGAUUUUAGUAUGUUACUGACAGCAUUUUACUUUCUUCCUGUACCUCUGUCAGUUUCUGGUUUUGGCUCUCACAUCUGACCUGGCCUUCACCUCUUUUGACUUUAUCUUUUUUUUUAUAUUCCAAACACAUACCAAACCACUCCUUUUGUGUAGGACAUUGCAUCUAUCUUCUUAUUGUUCUAUGACCAGUUACUAAGAUAUAUUUCUGGUUAGUGAUUGUAUCAUUUCAUAAACAUAGGAGGACUUUUAAUCCCCAGACUGAUCAAACCUAGAAAGGCCAACACCAAACCUGCCCAUUCCAAUUACUUUUUAAGGAUUUUAAAAAUAUUUUCAGCUCCUUAUUCAUUAGAGACUGACCAAAGGCUGGCCAUUUUUUAUAAUCAUUUGAACAAUAUCACCCCACAUCUCCAGGGUUCUCACUAGGGUCCCACAGUGAAGAGUACCGAACUCUCAACUUUUUUUUUCAAGAGUCCCAUAAGUAGGAUUUAAUAAACUCAAAAAAAAAAAAAAGGAAAAAAAAGCACUUUAUUUUCAAUGAAAAACUAUUUACAAUGUACACUACAUGUUUACCUUCUACAAGUGUAAAAAGAGCAUGUUCGAAUAGUUGACUAUUCUUCUUCAGGAGAACAAAGAAGAAUAGUCAACUUUUCGAAAGCGCUCGAGUUUUGGGUCUUAUUUUGAGUUUAUUACACUUUAUAUGUGAUCCUUUGUGCUAACUUUUUUUUAUCAAGAAAAGAGCAUGUUAAUGUUCAGUGAAAAAAUGUAUUUACAAUUUACACUACAUGUUGUUUCCCUUUAUAAGUGCAAAUGAAUUUUCAUGAUAAGAUUUUAAAAACUUCUUUAUCUAAAAAUUUUCAAAUAUUAUUUGC